rnacentral:misc_RNA from 1 species
UACGAAGGGAGCUAGCGUUGUUCGGAAUUACUGGGCGUAAAGGGUGCGUAGGCUGUCGGGUAAGUUAGGUGUGAAAGCCUUGGUUUCAAGCUAAGAACUGCAUUUAAUACUGCUCGGCUAGAGGGUAAGAGAGGAUAGUGGAAUUCUGAGUGUAGAGGUAAAAUUCGUAGAUAUUCAGAGGAACACCAGAGGCGAAAGCGGCUAUCUGGAUUACUCCUGACGCUGAGGCACGAAAGUAUGGGGAGCAAACAGG